UACGAAGGGGGCUAGCGUUGCUCGGAAUUACUGGGCGUAAAGCGCACGUAGGCGGAUUCUUAAGUCAGGGGUGAAAUCCUGGAGCUCAACUCCAGAACUGCCUUUGAUACUGAGGACCUUGAGUUCGGGAGAGGUGAGUGGAACUGCGAGUGUAGAGGUGAAAUUCGUAGAUAUUCGCAAGAACACCAGUGGCGAAGGCGGCUCACUGGCCCGAUACUGACGCUGAGGUGCGAAAGCGUGGGGAGCAAACAGG
rnacentral:rRNA from 1 species